GGAAGGUUGGCUCAGUGGUAGAGUGCUUGCCUCACAUGCAUGAGACCUUGGGUUCAAGUCCUCAGCAUCACA
rfam:Dipodomys ordii contig_33451, whole genome shotgun sequence.